AUGUCGGUCACACUUCUUUUCCUUCUAAUUCCAUGCCUAUUACUUUGUCUAACAUACUUGUGUCACCUCAUCUUAUUAAGAACCUUUUUCCCGUCGUUGUUAACUCGUGAAAAUCCUGUUACUGUUGAAUUUUACGAGCUUGGUUUUUGUGUCAAGGACGCUCGAACCAGGAUGGUACUUCACCGAUGUGACAGCCUCGACGAGCUCUAUCCGGUGCAUCCGCCGUCCACCUCCACCACCGCACCGGUUGCUCUCUCCACCGUCAUCGAUAUCUGGCACGCUCGUUUGGGUCAUCCCAACCCCGUCACACUUCGUCAUAUUCUUAGGAGUUUCAGUUUCAGUUGUAAUAAGAUAGAGGAUCACACCUGUCAUGUCUGUCGUGUCGGCAAACAUGUUCGUCUCCCGUUUAAUAACUCCACCACCAUAGCUUAUUUUCCUUUUCAGUUGAUUCAUAGCGUUGUGUGGACCUCUCUGGUUCCUAGUAAUUCGGACUAUUUAUAUUAUCUGGUUAUCCUUGAUGAUUAUUCUCACUAUAUGUGGACGUUUCCUUUACGACGAAAGUCGGAUGCACUCUCUGAAGGAAAUAUGCCCUAG
rnacentral:rRNA from 1 species